AGCUCCGUAGCACAGUGGUAAGUGUAGCGGUCUCCAAAGCCGUUGACCUCAGUUCGAGCCUGAGCGGAGCUGCCA
rnacentral:tRNA from 1 species